CACAAUGGUAACACUCUGCCGUCGGCUC
rnacentral:sRNA from 1 species